rnacentral:rRNA from 1 species
AUUGAACGCUGGCGGCAGGCCUAUCACAUGCAAGUCGAGCGGAUGAAGGGAGCUUGCUCCUGGAUUCAGCGGCGGACGGGUGAGUAAUGCCUAGGAAUCUGCCUGGUAGUGGGGGAUAACGUCCGGAAACGGGCGCUAAUACCGCAUACGUCCUGAGGGAGAAAGUGGGGGAUCUUCGGACCUCACGCUAUCAGAUGAGCCUAGGUCGGAUUAGCUAGUUGGUGGGGUAAAGGCCUACCAAGGCGACGAUCCGUAACUGGUCUGAGAGGAUGAUCAGUCACACUGGAACUGAGACACGGUCCAGACUCCUACGGGAGGCAGCAGUGGGGAAUAUUGGACAAUGGGCGAAAGCCUGAUCCAGCCAUGCCGCGUGUGAGAAGAAGGUCUUCGGAUUGUAAAGCACUUUAAGUUGGGAGGAAGGGCAGUAAGUUAAUACCUUGCUGUUUUGACGUUACCAACAGAAUAAGCACCGGCUAACUUCGUG